GGUCCCGCUGGAAGACCCGGCCUCCCAGGGGACAAAGGUGCCAUUGGGAUGCCUGGACGUGUGGGAGUAAAGGGCCAACCAGGCGAGAAGG